rnacentral:rRNA from 1 species
GACGAACGCUGGCGGCGUGCUUAACACAUGCAAGUCGAACGGGCCCGCUCUCUUUUUUGGGGGUGGGUUGAGUGGCGAACGGGUGAGUAUCCCGUGAGUAACCUGCCCCCUGCUCCUGGAUAACUGCUUGAAAGGGCGGCUAAUACGGGGUGUGCCGGCUGGUCCGCAUGGGCCUGGUCGGGAUAGUUUCAUCUUCGGGUGUUUCGGUGGGGGAUGGGCUCGCGGCCUAUCAGCUUGUUGGUGGGGUGAUGGCCCACCAAGGCGGUGACGGGUAGCCGGCCUGAGAGGGUGGGCGGCCAGGCUGGGACUGGGACACGGCCCAGACGCCUGCGGGAGGCAGCAGUGGGGGGUAUGGCAGAAUGGGCGGAGGCCUGAUGCAGCGACGUCGCGUGAGGGAUGGAGGCCGUCGGGUGGUGAACCUCUUUCUCCGGUGGUGAAGGCCCUGUCCGUUGCGGCGGGGUUGACGGUAGCCGGGUAUGAAGCGCCGGCUAACUACGUG